AUGUUGGAUAGUACACCCGUGAAGCACAAUACAACUUAAAACAAAAGAAAGAUUACAACGGAAAAACUGGAAAUGCACUUAAAAACAAACUAGAACAAACUCAAAGCCGAGUCGAGGAGUCCUCUCUCCGUAAGACGAGAUACGCCCCGGUAGUGCUCACGGUAAGGCGUGUCGUCCCCAAAGAUGAAACGGCUUCGUCCUUCAAAGUAGCAGCACCGCGAACUAGGAAGGCUCCGGCGAACUAAACGAGACGAGAAUUGAGCUUUAUGCUCCUACGAAUGCAGCUAGGAUGAUGAUAUGAGAUGGAGAGAAGAGAGAACU
rnacentral:lncRNA from 1 species